rnacentral:rRNA from 1 species
UGGGGAAUAUUGGACAAUGGGCGCAAGCCUGAUCCAGCCAUGCCGCGUGUGUGAAGAAGGCCUUUUGGUUGUAAAGCACUUUAAGCGAGGAGGAGGCUACUUGGAUUAAUACUCUAGGAUAGUGGACGUUACUCGCAGAAUAAGCACCGCCUAACUCUGUGCCAGCAGCCGCGGUAAUACAGAGGGUGCGAGCGUUAAUCGGAUUUACUGGGCGUAAAGCGUGCGUAGGCGGCUUCUUAAGUCGGAUGUGAAAUCCCUGAGCUUAACUUAGGAAUUGCAUUCGAUACUGGGAAGCUAGAGUAUGGGAGAGGAUGGUAGAAUUCCAGGUGUAGCGGUGAAAUGCGUAGAGAUCUGGGGGAAUACCGAUGGCGAAGGCAGCCAUCUGGCCUAAUACUGACGCUGAGGUACGAAAGCAUGGGGAGCAAACAGG